GACCUGAACUCGGACGUGAACACCCGCUGAACUUAAGCAUAU
rnacentral:rRNA from 1 species